UACGGAAGGCAGCAGUGGGGAAUAUUGCACAAUGGGCGCAAGCCUGAUGCAGCCAUGCCGCGUGUAUGAAAAAGGCCUUCGGGUUGUAAAGUACUUUCAGUCGUGAGGAAGGUGUUAAGGUUAAUAACCUUAGCAAUUGACGUUAGCGACAGAAGAAGCACCGGCUAACUCCGUGCCAGCAGCCGCGGUAAUACGGAGGGUGCGAGCGUUAAUCGGAAUUACUGGGCGUAAAGGGCACGCAGGCGGUUAAUUAAGUUGGAUGUGAAAUCCCCGGGCUUAACCUGGGAAUGGCAUUCAAGCUGGUUAGCUAGAGUCUUGUAGAGGGGGUAGAAUUCCAUGUGUAGCGGUGAAAUGCGUAGAGAUGUGGAGGAAUACCGGUGGCGAAGGCGGCCCCUGGACAAAGACUGACGCUCAUGUGCGAAAGCGUGGGGAGCGAAACAGGGAUUAGAUACC
rnacentral:rRNA from 1 species